AGAGGACAUGAAUCUUCAUUCAUUUUGCUUUCCUCUACAGUAGUGAGUUGCAGGUUGCCUGGUGGUAUCAGCCUAGCCCUUUUCUGCCACUGCUGAGGAUCAGUCCAUUCCAUUCCCAGAUUCUGACUGAGACAUUAUAGUCUCGAGAUGAUCAAGAUAUUUUGCAUGACCAAGUUGCUGGAUGCAGUACUCAUGUGAAAUCCAAUGGUCUGUGAUUGCCAAGCCAGCACACUGUCUUCUGCUGGGUCCAGACUGGAAGAAAGGAGAGAUUUCAUCAGUGCUCUUUGAUAACUGGGACAAAACACCAAACGCAUCAUGGGACUGGUGGGCUCUCCAUCCUUUGGAUCUCCAGAGCAAAGCUGCCCAUCUCUGCAGGAGAUGCUUUAACCCAGCAGACUCAGCAGCCACACGCUGGCAGAGAUCUCCCAGUCACAGACCUGGCCCACUGCUCCACAUGCUGGAAACCCAGGGGAGGUUUGGUUGCUUCUCCUGCUAGGUGCUCUGCUGGCAGUGGGCAGCCUCUGCUUUCUGUGCCCACCCAACUAAAAGUGCCCACUUGGGGAGCCUGAUGAAGUUGUGCCCACAGAACUU